rnacentral:lncRNA from 1 species
UCUAGGGGUGGGCUGGCAAGUUUCCAAAGAGGAGUAGGAAGCCUCUAGGAGACUUGGGUUGCGACUCUACUGCAGACUCCUGACCAUGCAUGGAUACUGAGGGACUCUUUUUCUGUCAAAAAAGGAGUAUGAAACGAAGACGGAAUCGGGCACUAAGACUUUCCAAACUUAAUCGUUAAUCAAUUGUCUUUUUUUUCACCCCCUUUUUCUCCUAUAUAAACCCACCACCGUCCCCUUUUUCUCCUGUAUAAACCCACCACCGUCUCUCAAAAAUCUUAGAGAGAGAGAGAGAGGUAGCAUGGAGUCUGUGACGAGAGUGAAGGGCGAGGGGAAGGGUCGGCAGGGGUCGGUCGUUGGCC